UACGGGGGGAGCAAGCGUUGUUCGGAUUUACUGGGCGUAAAGGGCGCGUAGGCGGCCAGCGCAAGUCAGUUGUGAAAUCUCCGAGCUUAACUCGGAAAGGUCAACUGAUACUGCGCGGCUAGAGUGCAGAAGGGGCAACUGGAAUUCUCGGUGUAGCGGUGAAAUGCGUAGAUAUCGAGAGGAACACCUGCGGCGAAGGCGGCAUCCUGGACCGGUAUUGACGCUGAGGCGCGAAAGCCAGGGGAGCAAACGGG
rnacentral:rRNA from 1 species